rnacentral:rRNA from 1 species
GAUGAACGCUGGCGGCGUGCCUAAUACAUGCAAGUCGAGCGAACGGACGAGAAGCUUGCUUCUCUGAUGUUAGCGGCGGACGGGUGAGUAACACGUGGAUAACCUACCUAUAAGACUGGGAUAACUUCGGGAAACCGGAGCUAAUACCGGAUAAUAUUUUGAACCGCAUGGUUCAAAAGUGAAAGACGGUCUUGCUGUCACUUAUAGAUGGAUCCGCGCUGGAUUAGCUAGUUGGUAAGGUAACGGCUUACCAAGGCAACGAUGCAUAGCCGACCUGAGAGGGUGAUCGGCCACACUGGAACUGAGACACGGUCCAGACUCCUACGGGAGGCAGCAGUAGGGAAUCUUCCGCAAUGGGCGAAAGCCUGACGGAGCAACGCCGCGUGAGUGAUGAAGGUCUUCGGAUCGUAAAACUCUGUUAUUAGGGAAGAACAUAUGUGUAAGUAACUGUGCACAUCUUGACGGUACCUAAUCAGAAAGCCACGGCUAACUACGUG